rnacentral:rRNA from 1 species
AUUGAACGCUGGCGGCAUGCCUUACACAUGCAAGUCGAACGGCAGCACGGGAGCAAUCCUGGUGGCGAGUGGCGAACGGGUGAGUAAUAUAUCGGAACGUGCCCAGUCGUGGGGGAUAACGUAGCGAAAGCUACGCUAAUACCGCAUACGAUCUACGGAUGAAAGCGGGGGAUCGCAAGACCUCGCGCGAUUGGAGCGGCCGAUAUCAGAUUAGCUAGUUGGUGGGGUAAAAGCUCACCAAGGCGACGAUCUGUAGCUGGUCUGAGAGGACGACCAGCCACACUGGAACUGAGACACGGUCCAGACUCCUACGGGAGGCAGCAGUGGGGAAUUUUGGACAAUGGGCGCAAGCCUGAUCCAGCAAUGCCGCGUGCAGGAUGAAGGCCUUCGGUUGUAACGUAGCUUUGUUACGGAACGAAACGGUAGAGCUCUAAUAAAGUACUUGCUAAUGACGGUACCGUAAGAAUAAGACACCGCUACUACGU